rnacentral:rRNA from 1 species
UACGUAGUGCGAGCGUUGUCCGGAUUUACCUGGGCGUAAAGGGAGCGUAGGCGGACUUUUAAGUGAGAUGUGAAAUACCCGGGCUCAACUUGGGUGCUGCAUUUCAAACUGGAAGUCUAGAGUGCAGGAGAGGAGAAUGGAAUUCCUAGUGUAGCGGUGAAAUGCGUAGAGAUUAGGAAGAACACCAGUGGCGAAGGCGAUUCUCUGGACUGUAACUGACGCUGAGGCUCGAAAGCGUGGGGAGCAAACAGGAUUAGAUACCCCCGUACGU